ACUCAAAUGAAUUGACGGGGGCCCGCACAAGCGGUGGAGCAUGUGGUUUAAUUCGACGCAACGCGAAGAACCUUACCGGGGCUUGACAUCGGAGGAACAUCUAAGAAAUUAGGUUUCGGAGCAAUCCGACUUCCAGACAGGUGCUGCAUGGCUGUCGUCAGCUCGUGCCGUGAGGUGUUGGGUUAAGUCCCGCAACGAGCGCAACCCUCGUCGUGUGUUGGUCAGCAAUGAUCUCUCACGCGAGACCGCCGGUGAGAAGCCGGAGGAAGGUGGGGAUGACGUCAAGUCAGCAUGGCCCUUACGUCCCGGGCUACACACGUGCUACAAUGGGUAGGACAACGAGUCGCUAGCUAGUGAUAGUUUGCUAAUCUCUUAAACCUAUCCUCAGUUCGGAUUGAAGGCUGCAACUCGCCUUCAUGAAGUCGGAAUCGCUAGUAAACGCAGAUCAGCUACGCUGCGUUGAAUACGUUCCCGGGCCUUGUACACACCGCCCGU
rnacentral:rRNA from 1 species